rnacentral:rRNA from 1 species
GUGGGGAAUCUUGCGCAAUGGGCGAAAGCCUGACGCAGCCAUGCCGCGUGAAUGAUGAAGGUCUUAGGAUUGUAAAAUUCUUUCACCGGGGACGAUAAUGACGGUACCCGGAGAAGAAGCCCCGGCUAACUUCGUGCCAGCAGCCGCGGUAAUACGAAGGGGGCUAGCGUUGCUCGGAAUUACUGGGCGUAAAGGGCGCGUAGGCGGAUCGUUAAGUCAGGGGUGAAAUCCCAGAGCUCAACUCUGGAACUGCCCUUGAUACUGGCGAUCUUGAGUGUGGGAGAGGUAUGUGGAACUCCGAGUGUAGAGGUGAAAUUCGUAGAUAUUCGGAAGAACACCAGUGGCGAAGGCGACAUACUGGCUCAUUACUGACGCUGAGGCGCGAAAGCGUGGGGAGCAAACAGGAUUAGAUACCCGUGUAGUCC